rnacentral:rRNA from 1 species
UACGAAGGGGGCUAGCGUUGUUCGGAUUUACUGGGCGUAAAGCGCACGUAGGCGGAUUGUUAAGUCAGGGGGUGAAAUCCUGGAGCUCAACUCCAGAACUGCCUUUGAUACUGGCAAUCUAGAGUCCGGAAGAGGUGAGUGGAACUCCUAGUGUAGAGGUGGAAUUCGUAGAUAUUAGGAAGAACACCAGUGGCGAAGGCGGCUCACUGGUCCGGUACUGACGCUGAGGUGCGAAAGCGUGGGGAGCAAACAGGG